GACGAACGCUGGCGGCGUGCUUAACACAUGCAAGUCGAACGAUGAAGCCUAGCUUGCUAGGUGGAUUAGUGGCGAACGGGUGAGUAAUACGUGAGUGACCUACCUUUGACUCUGGGAUAAGCCUGGGAAACUGGGUCUAAUACCGGAUACGACCAAUCUCCGCAUGGGGUGUUGGUGGAAAGCGUUAUGGAGUGGUUUUAGAUGGGCUCACGGCCUAUCAGCUUGUUGGUGAGGUAAUGGCUUACCAAGGCGACGGCGGGUAGCCGGCCUGAGAGGGUGACCGGCCACACUGGGACUGAGACACGGCCCAGACUCCUACGGGGGGCAGCAGUGGGGAAUAUUGCACAAUGGGCGCAAGCCUGAUGCAGCGACGCCGCGUGAGGGAUGACGGCCUUCGGGUUGUAAACCUCUGUUAGCAUCGAAGAAGCGAAAGUGACGGUAGGUGCAGAGAAAGCGCCGGCUAACUACGUG
rnacentral:rRNA from 1 species